GUGCCAGCAGCCGCGGUAAGACAGAGGGUGCAAACGUUGUUCGGAAUUACUGGGCGUAAAGCGUGUGUAGGCGGUCUUGUAAGUCGGAUGUGAAAGCCCCGGGCUCAACCCGGGAAGUGCACUCGAUACUGCGAGACUUGAGUAUCGGAGAGGUUGGUGGAAUUCUCGGUGUAGAGGUGAAAUUCGUAGAUAUCGAGAGGAACACCGGUGGCGAAAGCGGCCAACUGGACGAAUACUGACGCUGAGACACGAAAGCGUGGGGAGCAAACAGGAUUAGAUACCCUGGUAGUCC
rnacentral:rRNA from 1 species